GGUCGCUCGGUCAAGGGGCUUUUUUGUUUUGAAAGCAGAGGGGAAGCGUUCGAUUCGCUUGGUGGCCU
rnacentral:tRNA from 1 species